GACGAACGCUGGCGGCGUGCCUAAUACAUGCAAGUCGAACGCACAGUUUAUACCGUAGCUUGCUACACCAUAGACUGUGAGUUGCGAACGGGUGAGUAACGCGUAGGUAACCUGCCUGGUAGCGGGGGAUAACUAUUGGAAACGAUAGCUAAUACCGCAUAAUAUUAAUUAUUGCAUGAUAAUUAAUUGAAAGGUGCAAUUGCACCACUACCAGAUGGACCUGCGUUGUAUUAGCUAGUAGGUGAGGUAACGGCUCACCUAGGCGACGAUACAUAGCCGACCUGAGAGGGUGAUCGGCCACACUGGGACUGAGACACGGCCCAGACUCCUACGGGAGGCAGCAGUAGGGAAUCUUCGGCAAUGGACGAAAGUCUGACCGAGCAACGCCGCGUGAGUGAAGAAGGGUUUCGGAUCGUAAAGCUCUGUUGUAAGAGAAGAACGGGUGUGAGAGUGGAAAGUUCACACUGUGACGGUAUCUGACCAGAAAGGGACGGCUAACUACGUG
rnacentral:rRNA from 1 species